rnacentral:rRNA from 1 species
AUCUUCCGCAAUGGGCGAAAGCCUGACGGAGCAACGCCGCGUGAGUGAUGAAGGUCUUCGGAUCGUAAAACUCUGUUGUUAGGGAAGAACAAAUUUGUUAGUAACUGAACAAGUCUUGACGGUACCUAACCAGAAAGCCACGGCUAACUACGUGCCAGCAGCCGCGGUAAUACGUAGGUGGCAAGCGUUAUCCGGAAUUAUUGGGCGUAAAGCGCGCGUAGGCGGUUUCUUAAGUCUGAUGUGAAAGCCCACGGCUCAACCGUGGAGGGUCAUUGGAAACUGGGAAACUUGAGUGCAGAAGAGGAGAGUGGAAUUCCAUGUGUAGCGGUGAAAUGCGCAGAGAUAUGGAGGAACACCAGUGGCGAAGGCGGCUCUCUGGUCUGUAACUGACGCUGAUGUGCGAAAGCGUGGGGAUCAAACAGGAUUAGAUACCCUGGUAGUCCACGCCGUAAACGAUGAGUGCUAAGUGUUAGGGGGUUUCCGCCCCUUAGUGCUGCAGCUAACGCAUUAAGCACUCCGCCUGGGGAGUACGACCGCAAGGUUGAAACU